rnacentral:sRNA from 1 species
CCGUCUCGAUCUGCUGCGGGCAGAUAUAAUGGAUAUGCGUGUCGAUGCCGCCGGCCGUGAUAAUCUUGCCUUCGCCCGCUAUCACUUCCGUCGAAGCCCCGACAAUCAUGUUCGGAUGCACACCAUCCAUCAGAUCCGGAUUACCCGCUUUGCCUAUGCCGACAAUGACGCCGUCUUUGAUCCCGAUAUCGGCUUUCACAAUCCCGCUGUGAUCAAUAAUCACCGCAUUCGUAAUGAGGGUAUCGAGCACCCCUUGAUUGCGCGUAUGACGGCUCGAUUGCCCCAUACCGUCGCGG